AUUGAACGCUGGCGGAAUGCUUUACACAUGCAAGUCGAGCGGCAGCGCGGGGCAACCUGGCGGCGAGCGGCGAACGGGUGAGUAAUACAUCGGAACGUACCCAGUUGUGGGGGAUAGCCCGGCGAAAGCCGGAUUAAUACCGCAUACGACCUGAGGGUGAAAGGGGGGGAUCGCAAGACCUCACGCAGUUGGAGCGGCCGAUGGCGGAUUAGCUAGUUGGUAGGGUAAAGGCCUACCAAGGCGACGAUCCGUAGCGGGUCUGAGAGGACGACCCGCCACACUGGAACUGAGACACGGUCCAGACUCCUACGGGAGGCAGCAGUGGGGAAUUUUGGACAAUGGGGGCAACCCUGAUCCAGCCAUUCCGCGUGAGUGAAGAAGGCCUUCGGGUUGUAAAGCUCUUUCGGCCGGGAAGAAAUCGCACGGGCUAAUACCCUGUGUGGAUGACGGUACCGGAAUAAGAAGCACCGGCUAACUACGUGCCAGCCGCCGCGGUAAUAC
rnacentral:rRNA from 1 species